rnacentral:rRNA from 1 species
CCUACGGGAGGCAGCAGGGAGGAAUAUUGGUCAAUGGACGCAAGUCUGAACCAGCCAUGCCGCGUGCAGGAAGACGGCUCUAUGAGUUGUAAACUGCUGUUGUACGAGGGUAAACGCAGAUACGCGGAUCUGUCUGAAAGUAUCGUACGAAUAAGGAUCGGCUAACUCCGUGCCAGCAGCCGCGGUAAGACGGAGGAUUCAAGCGUUAUCCGGAUUUAUUGGGUUUAAAGGGUGCGUAGGCUGUCGGAUAAGUUAGAGGUGAAAUCCCGAGGCUCCACUUCGGAAUUGCCUCUGAUACUGUUCGGCUAGCGUGUCUUUGCGGUAGGCGGAAUGUCUGGUGUAGCGGUGCACUGCUU